UCGAGUGCAACAGAGUUAGGAAGUGUUUUUAAAAGUGAAACUUUUAGGCAAUUGUUAAUUAAUCAGUAUAAGGUGACGGCCGUGAGGCAGAUUUUCCAAGGAUGCAGUGGUACCUGAAUCCUUCCCGAUCGAAAGUGAGGAGGAGCUGGUGGCAUUGAGACCAUCACCUUGUGCCAGUGGGAGCAUGUGACGACGGAGCCCACUCUCAAAAUGAAAAGAUCGAUAUCUACAACUACAUCGAGGGCACUAAACUUCUUGGCGCCUAUCUCCACGAAGUGUGAAAAUUAUAAAAAAGAAAAUUAACAUCCCAUCCUAAUACGAUGAAACAUCACAACCGUGCUCUAAUUGAAACAAAUAUUGUCCUUAACCUUACAAUU